AUUUAUUUAAUAUAAUUAGUAUAGUUGAUUUCCAAUCAAAAAGUCUAAAUAUCUUAGAAUAAAUA
rnacentral:tRNA from 1 species